rnacentral:rRNA from 1 species
UACGUAGGGGGCAAGCGUUGUCCGGAUUUAUUGGGCGUAAAGAGCGUGUAGGCGGCCAAACAGGUCAGCUGUGAAACUCGAGGCUCAACCUCGAGACGUCGGUUGAAACCGUUUGGCUAGAGUCCGGAAGAGGAGAGUGGAAUUCCCGGUGUAGCGGUGAAAUGCGCAGAUAUCGGGAAGAACACCCGUGGCGAAGGCAGCCCCCCUGGGAUAAUAUUGACGCUCAUGCACGAAAGCGUGGGGAGCAAACAGG